rnacentral:lncRNA from 1 species
UAACAUUAUGUCUUGUGUGUGCAGAUGUAUGAUUAAGACACAGUCUCAGAAAUGAAGAUGCUGAGACCAGUGGUGCCCAGGCCAAAGCCUACCAGGGGGCCAGAGAGAAGUGGAAGACUGGAAGUUCUGGCAAGUUCUACCUGGAAGCAGGGGCCAAGAAGCACCUACCCAUGGGGGCCAGUGUCUGGCAGGUCCUUGGAGGCUGCUGUGUUCUCACGCCUCACCACCAGGCCCCAAGACUGCUGUAGAUUCUCACUGUUGGAGUUCACCUUCGGUUUUCCACUUCUCUCAACUUGUGAAGCCAGGACAGAAUAUCACCUUUCAGGAGGCGUGCUGCCUCAUUUGGCGCUGUUAAGAUAAGAGAAGCAAAAACUUAAUUGAUGGAGAGUGACAAGGUAGAAAGAAAAAAAACAUCUUAAAUAUACAUCUCUCUGAAGACACCUGAGAAGUCCAACUACUUGUUUACUUGCAUAUAUGGCUUACAGCCUGCUCGUAAGG